GACGAACGCUGGCGGCGUGCUUAACACAUGCAAGUCGAACGCUGAAGACCUGGCUUUUGUUGGGUUGGAUGAGUGGCGAACGGGUGAGUAACACGUGAGUAACCUGCCCUCUUCUUUGGGAUAACGCCCGGAAACGGGUGCUAAUACUGGAUAUUCACUGAUCUUCGCAUGGGGGUUGGUGGAAAGGUUUGUUCUGGUGGGGGAUGGGCUCGCGGCCUAUCAGCUUGUUGGUGGGGUGAUGGCCUACCAAGGCUUUGACGGGUAGCCGGCCUGGGAGGGUGACCGGUCACAUUGGGACUGAGAUACGGCCCAGACUGCUACGGGAGGCAGCAGUGGGGAGUAUUGCGCAAUGGGCGAAAGCCGGAAGCAGCGGCGCCGCGUGAGGGAUGGAGGCCUUCGGGUUGUAAACCUCUUUCGCUCAUGGUCAAGCCGCAACUGUGGGUUGUGGUGAGGGUAGUGGGUAAAGAAGCGCCGGCUAACUACGUG
rnacentral:rRNA from 1 species